GUUUUAGGGUUUAGGAUUUAGGAUUUAGGGUUUAGAGUUUAGGGUUUAGAGUUGAAGGUUUAGGGUUUAGGGUUUAGAGUUGAUGUUUUAGGGUUUAGGGUUAAUUAUUUAGGGUUUAGGGUUUGGAGUUUACUUUUUAGGGUUUAGGGUUUAGCGUUGAUAGUUUAGGGUUUAGUGUUGAUGGUUUAGGGUUUAGAGUUGAAGUUUAGGAUUUAGGGUUUAGAGUUGAAGUUUAGGGUUUAGAGUUUAGAGUAGAUGUUUUAGAGUUUAGAGUUGACGGUUUAGGGUUUAGGGUUUAGAGUUGAUGUUUCGGGGUUUAUGGUUUAGAGUUGAUGUUUCAGGGUUUAAGGUUCGUAUUUCAAAAAAUAAUAGAGUUUAGGAUUGAUGGUUUAGGGUUUAGGGUUCGUAUUUCAAAAAAAAAAAGGGGUUUAGGAUUGAUGGUUUAGGGUUUAGAGUUGAGUUUUAAGGUUUAGGUUUGAAUUUCAAAAUACUAUAAUCCAGGAAAAAAUUUAAAAAAUGUUAUAAAAAGAACUGGUAUUUUAUUGUAUUGUAGAAAUUUAAAUAAGGGCGAAGUUUUAUACCCGUAGAAUUUUUAACACUGAUAUAGAGAGAGAAUUUCUUUUUAUAGAGAGAGAAGAGAUUGAGGUGUGUCAUACAACGAACGAAAAUGUUCGUAUAUAUAGAAAGAAAUUCACUGUGCAAAUAGUGCAGCGGGUCCCACAUCUUUUAUAUUUUUCAACGUUUUCGGCUGGCUGCUGGCUGUCUUUCAUAACACUCCCCCUUGGGGACCGGUGUCACUAUCCACU
rnacentral:lncRNA from 1 species